rnacentral:pre_miRNA from 1 species
AAACACUAUUAGGAUUGGAGUCUCUUGGUUACGGGAAGGGAUUGGGACUUUGGGUAGAAUUAGGCGGAAGACUUAUUCUUGUAACCCAUUGAUUUCUCUUUGUAACGAAACUCA